GUCGAGCGCGGGAAGCGAGUGGAUCCCUUCGGGGUGAAGCUCGUGGAACGAGCGGCGGACGGGUGAGUAACACGUGGGCAACCUGCCUGUAAGAUCGGAAUAACCCCGGGAAACCGGGGCUAAUGCCGGGUAAUACUUUCUUUCGCAUGAAGGAAAGUUGAAAGAUGGCUUCUUGCUAUCACUUACAGAUGGGCCCGCGGCGCAUUAGCUAGUUGGUGAGGUAACGGCUCACCAAGGCGACGAUGCGUAGCCGACCUGAGAGGGUGAUCGGCCACACUGGGACUGAGACACGGCCCAGACUCCUACGGGAGGCAGCAGUAGGGAAUCUUCCGCAAUGGACGAAAGUCUGACGGAGCAACGCCGCGUGAACGAUGAAGGUCUUCGGAUCGUAAAGUUCUGUUGUUAGGGAAGAACAAGUACCGUGCGAAUAGAGCGGUACCUUGACGGUACCUAACGAGGAAGCCCCGGCUAACUACGUGCCAGCAGCCGCGGUAAUACGUAGGGGGCAAGCGUUGUCCGGAAUUAUUGGGCGUAAAGCGCGCGCAGGCGGUUCCUUAAGUCUGAUGUGAAAGCCCACGGCUCAACCGUGGAGGGUCAUUGGAAACUGGGGAACUUGAGGACAGAAGAGGAGAGUGGAAUUCCACGUGUAGCGGUGAAAUGCGUAGAUAUGUGGAGGAACACCAGUGGCGAAGGCGACUCUCUGGUCUGUUUCUGACGCUGAGGUGCGAAAGCGUGGGUAGCAAACAGGAUUAGAUACCCUGGUAGUCCACGCCGUAAACGAUGAGUGCUAGGUGUUAGGG
rnacentral:rRNA from 1 species